GGACUUUGAAAUUUCAAAAAUAAGCAAGAUGGACAAAUAAAUGUGUAAUGAGCAACAUUCUAGAUGUUAUUUGAUGCAGAUCAACAGAU